rfam:Candidatus Amesbacteria bacterium RIFOXYB1_FTLL_44_23 rifoxyb1_full_scaffold_8205, whole genome shotgun sequence.
UUUUUACUUCCGUAAUGCAGACAAUGAAUGCCUAGGAUGCACGAGCCGAAGAAGGACGUACGUGGCCACGAAAGUCGUCGGGGAGCUGCCAAGAAGCGCUGAUCCGGCGGUGUCCGAAUGGAGAAAUCCCUCCUUUAAGGAGAACCGUGUUUGACACGGUGGGGAACGCCCUGAACUGAAACAUCUAAGUAGGGGCAGGAAAAUAAAUCAUCGAGAUUUCGUUAGUAAGCGGAGAGCGAACGCGAAACAGCCUAAACCUUGUGUGGUUUCGCAAGAAACUGUACGAGGGGUUGCGGGACAGACUGAGGAAUUGAGUUUUGGUAGUCGAACUGCCUGGAAAGGCAGGCCAAAGAACGUGACAGCCGUGUAAGCGAAACCAAAAUUCAUCCAAAGUCGUUUGUUCCCAAGUACCAUGAAGCACAUACUUUGUGGGAAUCCGGGGUAACCACACUCCAAGGCUAAAUACUUGUGCGUACCGAUAGUGAACUAGUACCGUGAGGGAAAGGCGAAAAGAAGGGUUAAAAACCUAGUGAAAUAGAACCUGAAAUUGUCUGCUGUCAAGCAGACGGAGUCCGUCCGCAAGGAUUUGGAUGACGUCGUGCCUAUUGAAGAAUGAUCCGGCGAGUUUUUGGUUAUUGCGAGUUUAAUCCCGCCAAGCGGGAGAAGGCGUAGCGAAAGCGAGUCUUAAUAGGGCGUUUAGCAAUAACUGGAAGACCCGAAACCUGGUGAGCUAACCACGAGCAGGGUGAACCCCGUCUAACGACGGAGGGAGGCCCGAACUCUUCAGAGUUACAAAUCUGUGAGAUGACUUGUGGUUAGGGGUAAUAUGCCAAUCGAACCAGGAGAUAGCUGGCUCUCCCCGAAAUAUAUAUAGGUAUAGCCUCUCGCUAAAAACUUACUGCAGGUAGAGCACUAGAUGGGCUUGGUAUCGUAAGGUAUCAAGUUCAAUUAAACUCCGAAUUGCGGUAUUUUGAGUGAGGGAGUCAGUCCGAUCCGGCUAAGCGGACCGGUCUAAAGGGAAACAACCCAGAUUAUCGUCUAAGGCCUCUAAAUAAAUGCUUAGUGUAGAACGCAGUUGAACUCCUCAGACAACCAGGAGGUUGGCUCAGAAGCAGCCAUCCUUUAAAGAAAGCGUAACAGCUCACUGGUCGAUCUUUUUGGAGUUUGGCGCGGAAAAUGAACCGAGGCUCAAGCAUUUUGCCGAAGACAUAGACUCGAUUUUGAUUUAUCAAAAUCGAUUGGUAGGGGAGCGUUGAAGGAGUAGUGAAGCUCAGCCGUAAGGCUUUGGGUGGAACGACUUCAAGUGAUAAUGCCGGAAUGAGUAGCGCAAUGGUUGUGAGAAUCAACCACGCCGUAUACCCAAGGUUUCCUUCGCUACAUUGUUUGGCGAAGGGUGAGUCGGCACCUAAGGUGAGGCCACAGAAGGCGUAACCGAUGGACGAGCCGUUAAGAUUCGGCUACAUAAGGAAUGUCGUUAUUAACUAAGGAUGGACAAAAUAAGAGCAAUCAAACGCACUAUUGAAUGUGGCGUUUAAGCAGUAAGACAGUCAGGCCUGGAAAAUCCGGUCUGGCGUUUAUUCGAGCUGUUAUGAGGAGUUUGACAAGCGAUUGACAGACAACUUGAUGAGCUUUUGUUUUCAGGAAAAAAUUCGUAGUGAGACAUUUUUUAUGCCGUACCGCAAACCGACACUGGUGGGUGGGUCGAGUAGACCAAGGCGAUCGGGAGAAGGCAGUUCAAGGAACUCGGCAAAUUAGCUGGACGUAAGCUAGCGAGAUGUCCUGACCCCUUUAUGGGGCCUACAACAAAAGAUUAUUCCUCGACUGUUUAACUAAAACACAGGUCUGUGCAAACUUGAAAAAGAAGGUAUACAGGCUGAAGCCUGCCCAGUGCUCGUAAGUUAAGUGGAUGGGUGAGAUUACAUCAAGCUCUGAAAUGAAGCUCGAGUGAACGGCAGCAGUAACUAUAACUGUCGACUAUAGGGCAGUUUUAAAAUCUGGCCAUAUGCUGGAAUAUCUGAGAAUCUCACACUAGUUUGACUUCGGGUAAUAUUCGGAGUUAAACUGAAAAUGUGUUGAGUGCAGACAAUCAGCAGGAAAGAGUUCCAGAGAAUAUUGUUAAUCUGAAUUACUAUUUGGCAGGAUUUGUGGAUGGAGAGGGUAGUUUUACCGUUUCUGUUCGUAAUUCAGGAGUCAAAAGAAGAUUUGGAUGAACAAUUGAUCCGUUUUUCCAAGUUUAUCAACAUAAAGAUAACUCUCGUAUUCUAUAUAUUUUCAAAGAAGUGUUAGGGUGUGGUUAUGUGAGUGAGAAAGGAGGAAAUCCUUCAUGUUUUGUUUACUGUGUAGACAAAAUUAAAGAUCUCAUUUCUGUAAUCAUUCCUUUCUUUGAUAUGUACCCCCUAGUUGGGGAAAAAUAUCAAAACUUUCUUCUUUUUAAGAAAAUAGUUAUUAGGUUAUCUAAAAAGGAACAUUUUGAUAAACGAGGAUUUGAGGAAAUUGUGAA